CGGCUUCAAAGUCAAGGAAACAAGGAGACGCGGCGAUGGCAAUGACAUGGGGAGAAGGGGGCAGCGCCCCCGGGGCCGGAGGAGGGUGGGAGUGGAUGCCAGUGCCCCCGCCCGAGGGACGCCCCUCUUCCGGCCCCAGGCCGUGCCCGCUGGCAUCAGGGGGUGCUGUAGCUGUGGGGUUAUUAUGCCUCGAUUUCUGAGCGGGAAGAGGGUCUUGAAUUUGACCCCCCACCCCCAACAAGUUCUUGUUUGCUAAAAAUGCUGCAUAGAUGAAAAAUUAGUCUUCAUUUCCUUUCUCUCUACUGGCUCUUCUGAAUUCUGAGAGGAAACCUUAUAGGUGGGGACGCAACUUGCAGGAAAGUGGAGCUGGCCUGCUGCUUUAUGUAAAACCGAGAGCAGGAGAUAAGGGGACAGCUCAGUAUUGCUCCGACAGGUUACUUGGUGCAAGUUUAUCAUUGACUAUAACUGCAAUUAGGAAAAGCUUUCAUGACCAAAUGACUUGCGUUUGUUUGCUUCAGGAGGUGGCUGUCACUAAACUUCAGAAGUUCAGUAUCUUGGCUUGUGGCAGUGGACAGAUUUUGAGCUGAAGGAGAAAUAAUUUGUGAAUCUUAGUUAUUAGAUUUAUACUUGCACUACAGAAAUGGAAUGCUUUGAAAGAAAACUUAUAACAUAUGGCUGUUUUUUUUUUUAUCUAAAGAUUGUUAUUACAGCACCCAGAGGUCUCAAACAGCACAGUUCCUGACUCAAAGGAUCUAGCAUCCACUGAAGACAUGAUUACUGAUAUUACUGCCACUUAGGAAAAAAAACUGUGGUGGCAUGUUGGAAAACUGGAAAGAAGAUUUCCCUGUUGAAGAGGAUUCUUUAUUUAUGGAAUAAUCUCUACUACCUUACUGGAAUCUGUACCAAACAGACUUGUAGAGCCAUCUCUCUGCCAGAAGUACAUAUUUCAGUGUUGGACUAAAGAAUUUUAAUUGUAUUUAUUGGCAGCAUUUCAGGCCAUAUGAAAGAUUCCUCUGUUUUAAAAUUUAAGUUAUAUUAAAUUUCUCAUGUGAAAACUAAUUGGUUUACACUUUUAACAAUCUUAAACAGUGUUUCAUAAGUAAUUUCAGCAUCUCAUGUAUAAAUACUUGUUUAAAUGCCUGAAAAAGUAGGAUGAAAAGCUCCCAUUUUAACCAAGGUAUAGAAGUUAAAUUACUGUGAACUUGUUUUUACUGUGGCAGUGCAAUGCCUUACUUGUAAGGGUGCUUUUGGUAUCCCUUUGUGAAGCAGUUUGGAAACAGCUGAUGUAAGGUUAUAAAUGUAAUAAAGUUGAUCUGUUUUUUACUGUAAAUACACAACUUGCGGUGA